GACCCCUUCUGUGCCGCAGUUAACACAAUAAGCAUUCCGCCUGGGGAGUACGGCCGCAAGGGUUGAAACUCAAAGGAAUUGACGGGGGCCCGCACAAGCAGCGGAGCAUGUGGUUUAAUUCGACGCAACGCGAAGAACCUUACCAGGUCUUGACAUCCAGUAAAACUUGUAGAGAUACAUCGUGUCUUCGGACAUACUGAGACAGGUGGUGCAUGGUUGUCGUCAGCUCGUGUCGUGAGAUGUUGGGUUAAGUCCCGCAACGAGCGCAACCCUUAUUUUCAGUUACUAACGGGUUAUGCCGAGGACUCUGAAGAGACUGCCGGGGACAACUCGGAGGAAGGUGGGGACGACGUCAAAUCAUCAUGCCCCUUAUGACCUGGGCUACACACGUGCUACAAUGGCCACCACAGAGAGGAGCGAACCCGUAAGGGAGAGCGGAUCUCAAAAAAGUGGUCCCAGUUCGGAUUGUGGGCUGCAACCCGCCCACAUGAAGUCGGAGUUGCUAGUAAUCGCGGAUCAGCAUGCCGCGGUGAAUACGUUCCCGGGCCUUGUACACACCGCCCGUCACACCAUGGGAGUUGGGAGUGCCCAAAGUCGGUGAGGUAACCGCAAGGAGCCAGCCGCCUAAGGCAAGACCAAUGACUGGGGUGAAGUCGUAAC
rnacentral:rRNA from 1 species